rnacentral:rRNA from 1 species
GACGAACGCUGGCGGUGUGCUUAAUACAUGCAAGUCGAACGGACCCUUCGGGGUUAGUGGCGGACGGCUGAGUAACACGUAGAUAACAUGCCCUUUACUGGGGGAUAACACCGGGAAACCGGUGCUAAUACCGCAUAAGCCUGAGGUUGAAAUACUUUUGGUUAAAGAUUUAUCGGUAAAGGAUUGGUCUGCGCCUGAUUAGCUUGUUGGUAGGGUAAAGGCCUACCAAGGCAAUGAUCAGUAGUUGGUCNGAGAGGAUGACCAGCCAGAGUGGGACUGAGACACGGCCCACACUUCUACGGAAGGCAGCAGUAGGGAAUUUUGCGCAAUGGGCGAAAGCCCGACGCAGCAACACCGCGUGAGGGAUGACGGCCU